AAACUAUUCCAAUCAAUAGAAAAAGAGGAAAUCCUCCCUAACUCAUUUUAUGAGGCCAGCAUCAUUCUGAUUCCUUUCCAUCUUUAGUGCUUCCUUCAGGAGGUCUUGCAAGGCAGGCCUGGUGGUGAUAAAUUCCCUCAGCAUUUGCUUGUCUGAGAAGGAUUUCUCCUUCACUUAUGAAGGUUAGUUUGGCCAGAUAUGAAAUUCUAGGUUAGAAAUUCUUUUCUCUAAGAAUGUUGACCAUUGGACCCAACUGUCUUCUGGCUUGUAGGGUUUCUGCUGAGAGGCCCACGGUUAGUCUGACGGGCUUCCCCUUGUAGGUGACCUGCCCUUGUCUCUGGCUGCCUUUAACAUUUUUUCCUUCAUUUUGAUCUUGGAGAAUCUGAUGACUAUGUGUCUUGAGGGUUGAUUUUCUUGUGGAGUAUCUUACUGGGGUUCUCUGGAUUUCCUGAAUUUGAAUGUUGGCCUGUCUUGCUAGGUUGGGGAAGUUCUCCUGGAUGAUAUCUUGAAGUGUGUUUUCCCAACGUGGCUCCAUUCUCCUUGUCUCUUUCAGGUAGUCCAAGCAGUCAUAGGUUUGGUCUUUUACAUAGUUCCACAGUUCUUUGAGGUUUUGUUCAUUCCUUUUCAUUCUUUUUUCUCUAAUCUUGUCUGCCUGCCUUAUUUUGGCAAGAUAGUCUUCAAGCUCUGAUAUUCUUUUUUCUGCUUGAUCAAUUCAGCUGUUGAUACUUGUGUUUGCAUCACGAAGUUCCCCUUAUGUGCUUUAUAGUUGGCUCCGGUCAUUUAUGUUCCUCUCUAAACUGGUUAUUCUAGUUAGCAUCUUCUGUAACCUUUUAACAUGGUUCUUAGCUUCUUUGCUGACAGAAGUAGGGUUCAGAAGGUGGGUAAUAACAAAUUUCACAGAGCUAAAGGAGCAUGUUCUAACCCAAUGCAUUGAUUUCUCCACCUCCCUUUCAGGGAUGCCAGUGAUUUGUAGAAUUGGCCUCUAUACAUAACCCCAUACUUAUUGGAGGUUUUGUUCCUUCCGUUUUAUUCUUUUUUAUUUUUGUCUGUCUUAUUUUAGAGAACCAAUCUUUAAGUUCUGGGAUUCGUUCCAAUGUGUUGGGUUAGAACGUGCUCCUUUAGCUCAGUGAAGUUUGCUACUACCCACCUUCUGAAGCCUACUUCUGUCAAUUCAUCCAUCUCAACCUCCUCCCAGCACUGUGCCCUUGCUGUAGAGGUGUUGUGAUCAUUUGGAGUAAACAAGCCACUCUGGCCUUUUGAGUUGUGAGGGGUUUUUCAUUCCUUUCUCAUCUUCAUGAGUUUGUCUCAUUUUGAUCUUUGAGGCUGCUGACCUUUAGAUGAGGUUUUCGUGGGGACUUUUUGGUUGAUGUUGUUGUUGCUUUCUGUUUUCCUUUGAACAGUCAGGCACCUCUUCUGUAGGGCUGCUGCAGUUUGCUGGGGAUUCACUUCAAGCCCUACUUAUCUGGGUCCCUCCCACACCUGAAGAUGUCACCAGAGAGUGCUGGAGAACAGCAAAGAUGAGACCCCACUCCUUCCUCUGGGAUCUCUGUCCUUGAGGGGCACCCACCUGAUGCCAGUAGAAAUGCUCUUGUAUAAGGUGUCUGGUGACCCAUUGGGGUGUCUCACCCAGUUGGGGGGCACAGGAUCCAGGACUUGCUUAAUGAAGCACUUUAGUUGUCCCUUUGUGAAGGGGGUAUGCUGUGCUGGGGGAAAUCCCACUCGUCUGGGAUGCCUGGAUUCCUCAGAGUGAGCAGGGGGAAAGAAUAAGUCUUCUGGUUUGUGGAGACAACAGCCAGCCACCCCUCCUGCUAGGGACUCAGACUUAGAGAGAUCAGAGUUCUCUCCCUAAUUCCCUGGCUUGAGUUGCUGGAGUUCCUGCAGGGAUGCCCCACCCAGUGAGGAGGGAUGGGUGAGGGUCAGCCUAAAGAGGCAGUCUGGCCAUGAUCUGCCACAGCCAGUAUGCUGCGCUGUGGGGAAUACCUCUUGGGACCAAGCCGUCCAGUCUCCCUGGCAUCAGCAAAGGAAAAACAGCAGCCUGGCUCUGUAGAAAUGGCUGCCGCCCUUCCUCCCCAGGAGUUCAGUGUCUUAGGCAGCUAGCAGCCACAGUGAUGGCUGCUGUCCCUUCUUGGGGAGCUCAGUUUCCUCAGGCAGCAGGCAGCUGCAGUGAUGAUGACUGCCCCUCUCUUGGGAAGCUCAGUUGUCUUAGGCAGCCACAGUGAUGAUGACAACCCUCCCCAACUUUUUAGGCAGACUCCAGCUGAGUGGCUGUUGAGAAUCUGCAUGGCUCUGUAGUUGGCACCCAAGGCCCUGGUGGUGUGGUCUCAUGAGUGGGAUCUUCUGAUCUGUGGAUUGCAAAGAUCCAUGGAAAAAGCAGUUUCCCAGGCUGGGUAGCAUGCUCACUCACUGCCUCCCUUGGCUGGCUGAGGGUGAGGGCUCCCCUUGCCCCAUGUGGCUCCCAGGUGGGCCAAUCCACCAGCCCAUCUUUCCUUGUUCUCUAUGGGCCAUGCCAACUACCUAGUCAGUCCUGAUCAUAGAACCUGGAUAUGUCAGUUGCUGGUGCAGGAUUUGCACACUGUUUUAGUUCUUCUCAGUGGGAGCCUCGAAUUGCAGCUGCUUCUAGUUGGCUAUCUUGCCCCUGCCCCCUUGUCUUUUUGAAAAAUUAUUGUUCAUUUGAAAUCUGUUUUGUCUGAAAUUAGGAUUGCAACCUCUGCUUUUUUUCUGUUUUCUAUUUGUCUGGUAGAUUUUCCUCCAUCCUUUUAGUUUGAGACGAUGAGUGUCAUUAUGUGUGAGAUGGGUCUCUUGAAGACGACAUACCAUUGGGUCUCGCUUUUUUUUUUUUUUAAUCUAGCUUGCCACUCUGCCUUUUAAGUGGGGCAUUUGUCCAUUUACUUUCAAGGUUAGUAUUGAUUUGUGUAGAUUUGAUCUUGUCAUUGUGCUGUUGGCUGGUUAUUAUGUUGGCUUGUUUGUGUGGUUGCUUUAUAGUGUCACUGGUCUGUGUGUUUAAGUAUGUUUUUGUAUUAGUGUGUAGUGGUCUUUCCUUUCUAUAUUUAGUCCUCCUUUCUAAAAUCUCUUGUAAGGCAGAUGUGGUGGUAAUGAAUUACCUCAGAAUUUGCUUGUCUGUAAAUGAUCUCAUUUCUCCUUCAUUUAGGAAGCUUAGUUUAGCUGGAUAUGAAAUUCUUGGUUGAAGAUUUUCUUUAAUAAUGUUAAAUAUAGUCCCCCAAUCCCUUCUGGCUUGUAGGAUUUCAGCUGAGAGAUCUGCUGUUAGCCUCAUGGGGUUCCCUUUGUAGAUGGCCUGCCCCUUUCUCUCUGGCUGCCUUUAACAUUCUUUCCCUCAUUUUGACCUUGGAAAACCUGAUGUUUAUGUGUCUUGAGGAUGGUCUUGUGUAGAAUCUUGUAGGAGUUCUUUGUAUUUCCUGAAUUUGACUGUUGGCCUUUCCAGCAAGGUUAGGGAAGCUUUCAUAGAUGAUAUCCUGAAAUGUUUUCCAAGUUAUUUGAUUUCUCCACCUCCCUUUCAGAGAUGCCAGUGAUUUGUAGAAUUGGCUUCUUUAUAUAAUCCCAUGCUCCUUGAAGGUUUUGUUCAUUCUUUUUUAUUUUUGUCCAUCUUAUUUUAGAGAACCAAUCUUCAAGUUCUGAGAUUCAUUCCUCAGAUUGGUUUUUUCUGCUGUUAAUACUUGUGAUUGCAUUGUGAAAUUCUUGUAUUGUGUUAUUUGGCGCUUUCAGAUCAGUUAGUUUCUUUUUUUAUUAUACCAGCUACUUUGUCCUUCAGCUCCUAUAACACUUUAUUGUUAUUCUUAUUUUCCUUGGAUUGGGUUCUGCCAUUGUCCUGAGUCUUGAUGAUUUUUUUUCCUAUCCAUAUUCUCAAUUAUAUUUAUGUAAUUCCAGACAGUUCAUCCAGGUUAAGAACUCUUGUUGGAGAACUGGUGUGGUUGUUUGAAGGACAUAUGACACAGAGGCCAUUUGAGUUACUGGAGUUCUUGCAUUGGUUUCUUCUCAUUUCCACCUAUGGGUUUUCCUUUAAUUGCAGUGUAGAUUGAGUACAGUCCGUAGACUUAUUUUCAGAUGUUUUCACCAGGCUGAGGCUUUGUGCAGGUUCUUUAUUUGAAGCUGACUUCUCAUUUCUGGUUUCAGAGGGGAGUAUAUUAGUAAGGUAUUUUUGGUGCUGAAGCUUUGGGAUGUGAUCCAGUAGGUGGCACUUGGGCUUACUGGUCAGUUGGUAGAGUCUUGCUUGGUCAUGUGGCUCCCCUAUGUUUCCUCACAGUUGCAGCCAUGUUCACUCUCAAUGAUCUGAAAAUGUGCUUCUCUCCUCCUUGAGUGCUGGCUGUAGAUCAUGGCUUGGCACUCCUAGGCUGCCCACUGCAGCUCUGGGGCAAUCUCAGUGUUUAUAUUUCUUCCCUAACUUUGGGGAAGAAGAGGAAGGGACAUUAGUAGUGGUUGUAGCCAAGGGUCUUUUGUUUGUCUCCUCAGGGUUCUACCCCCGGAGAAUACAGGUCAGCAACUGUUUAUUGCAAUCAGCAAGCAGGAUGGAGAAUUCAUGCUGUGGGGGCCAAUCCAGGGGUUCCCUGUCUGUUAUGAGCAGUGGGGAGUGUGUAAAACCCGUGGGAGAUGGGCUUUGGUCAAUUAAAGCUUGUUGAAGGUGUAGAUAAGGGUGUUAGCUCCUUCAUCAGUCUGAGGGUAGCAAGGACAGUUCCACUGCAGAAGCAGUGGCAGAGAGGCUUUCAGUUGCCCCUGGAGGCUCUGUCCAGGGAGUGGCUGAGUUGCUACUGGCUCGACAGCUCUGGCAGGGGGGUUAGGUAGAGGCCCAGGCCUGCAAGACUUGCCUAGUGAGAAGAUACAGGAAUGGGAACCCAGGUAACAGUCUGGCCACUUUUCCAUAGGGCUGCUGCAGUAUGCCCAGGGCCCACUUCAGUCUCUAGUAGCCUCAGAUUUUCCAGUACCUGGAGUUAUCAUCAGUGAAGGCUGUGAAACAGAAAAGUUGGCAGCCUACUGCUCCCUUUGGAAGCUUUGCCCUAGGGAGGUAUGAAUGAACUUGUUGCUGGCCCAAACACACCUGUAGGAGGUAGCUGGAGACCCCAGUUAGGGGGUUUUGCCCAGUGAGGCGGAAUGACAUUGGGAAAGUGCUUAAAAAGCAGUCUGACCACAUUUUUAUAGAGCAUCUGUGCUAUGCUGAGGGUCCACAUCAGCCCCUGGUCUCCUUGGACACUCCAAAGACUGAAGGUUGAAGUGGUUAAGUUGCAAAAACAGCAAACAUGAUGGCCUGCCCCUCCAUCAGGGAGCUCCAGCCAAGAAAAAACUGAAAUCACUGUCAGCAGGAGAACACCAGUGGGGGUGGCUGGAGACUCUGGCUAAAAGGACCUUCAUUGGGUGGGACCUUGAGAACUACAUGCCAGGGAGAAUUCAGAUCUCUGUCAGCCCGAGAACACCGGUGGGGGUGGCUGGAGACCACGGUUGAGAGGUCCCUCACUGGGCAGGACCUCAAGACCUCCAUGCCAGGGAGAAUUCAAAUCUCUGUCAGCCCCAAAACACUGGCAGGGGUGGCUGGAGGCCGAGGUCCUUCACUGGGCCAGACCUGGAGACCUCCAUACCAGGGAGAAUUCAAAUCUCUGUCAGCCCGAGAACACCGGUGGGGGUGGCUGGAGGCCCCGGGUGGGAGGUCCCUCACUGGGCGGGACCCCAAGACCUCCAUGCCAGGGAGAACUCAAAUCUCUGUCAGCCCCAGAACACUGGCGGGGGUAGCUGGAGGCCCUAGUUGGGAGGUCCUUCACUGGGUCAGACCCCGAGACCUCCAUGCCAGGGAGAAUUCAAAUCUCAGCCCCAGAACACUGGCGGGGGUGGCUGGAG
rnacentral:lncRNA from 1 species